AAUCAACGCAGGCGGCGUGCCUAACACAUGCAAGUCGAACGAGAAAGUGGAGCAAUCCAUGAGUACAGUGGCGAACGGGUGAGUAACACGUGACUAACCUACCUUCCAGUGGGGGAUAACCUCGGGAAACCGGGGCUAAGACCGCAUAACCUCGUGAGGUGAGAUUCCUUGCGAGCAAAGGGGUAAGACGCUGGAUGAGGGGGUCGCGGCCGAUUAGCUAGUUGGCGGGGUAACGGCCCACCAAGGCGAUGAUCGGUAGCCGGCCUGAGAGGGCGCACGGCCACACUGGAACGGAAACACGGACCAGACUCCUACGGGAGGCAGCAGUGGGGAAGUUUGCACAAUGGGGGAAACCCUGAUGCAGCAACGCCGCGUGGAGGAUGAAGUCCCUUGGGACGUAAACUCCUUUCGACCGGGACGAUAAUGACGGUACCGGUGGAAGAAGCCCCGGCUAACUCCGUGCCAGCCGCCGCGGUAA
rnacentral:rRNA from 1 species